rnacentral:ncRNA from 1 species
UAUGGAACUCAGCAAAAUAGCCUCGUAAGUUUGGGAGAAAGGAUGCCUCCUCGCAAAAGAAGGUCAUAGUGACCAGGCCCAAGUGACUGUUUACCAAAAACACAGGUCUUCGCAAAGUCGUAAGACCAUGUAUGGAGGCUGAUGCCUGCUUAGUGCUGGAAGGUCAAAGAAGUUGGUGACGAACGCUGGCCCCGGGAGCAUUGGAUGUUGGGCCAGUGUCUGACGGGUGCUAGUGUUUUGCCUUAAAGAACAGUGGUGCACUGGCAUGUCCGAGCUCAGGCACUGGAUGCGGUCAGAACACUGUUUGAGCGUCCGAUGUAGGUGACGUCAGCACUGUCGCA